GGACUGUUGGUGACAGCACCCUAACUUCUCUCCUCCAGCUGCCUCCUUUCCUCUCAACCCUCACCUCAUUCCUGAAAAAAAAAUCCUAACCCUAGCCGCCACAACUCCCUCAUUGGAAAAAAAAUCCUAGGGCGCCUCAUCAAAAAAAAAAACCCUAAUGAUCCUACUAAAAAAAAGGCCAGCCGCAACACACUUUCCGGGAGUGGACCCAAUCCUUGUCCUUCACCUCCCUCGGCUCUCUUCUUGAACAAGCAUACAUGACGGUUGUUCGGAGGAGGUGGAUAUUGCUUUUCAUUGAUAGAGAGGUAACGCAAUGUUCUUAUAAAGGGUCAGGUGUUGCAAUCUCGGAUCAUUUCAAACUUCCUAAAUGCCUUUCCUGAGCAGAGUAAAAUAUCAUUCUAGCCAUCUCAAUAACAUGUUUACUUAUUCAGCUUGACACAAAUCCUGUGGUUAUUAUUUGUCUUUUGUGCUAUUUAUGCUUUUGAUGGACAUAUGUAUAGCUAGUUGCUAGAGGAUCGUACGGGUGUUUAUGCAAUUUGGUUGGUGGAAAUGGUUAUUGGUGUCUGAUUCAUUUCAUGAACUGACUUUUCUGCUUUGUGAAACAUAUUUGCAAUGGUUGGUUAGUUUGUAAUGACUAAAUGCAUGCUAUUUUGACUUUGAGUUCCCUGGGAUUUCCUCAAUAAUUUUUCUGAGUCUCUGGCAUAAAAAUGAUAAGUUCUCGAUGCCGUUAUCUGUGAUUCAAUAACUUGCCGGCACCACCACUUGACAACUAACACCUACUAAGAGAGAAAGAGCCGAGACUCGGAUUCUCCAGCUGGUGUGUCCUUGUAACUGCUGUCGACACUUUUCCCGUGCUGUCCGAACUCUUCCCGAGCUCCCAGAGGCUGCCACUGCUCCCUGUCGCUCCUUUCUUUGGCUUCUUUUUUGCAGGUUUGUUGCUACCGGUGCUGCACGUCGAUGCCGUUCGUUGCUCGCGGCUACUUGUCGCUGCUGUCCGAUUCGUGUCUUGUGCGUACCCGAGCCGUUGCUGACUCACUGAGGUGUCCUUGGAUAGUCCGUACCAGCUCUGGUUGAAGAGACUUUCGAGAUUUCGUGGUCCUUCGGACAUAAGCUCGGAAGAGGUUUUCGAAUGUACUGGUUCGAGUUUCGGGAGACGUGCCGUGAGCAUCGUAGCGGGCGAGGUUGCAUUUGAGUCCAAGUUUGAGGACAUACAAGGAAAAGCCCAAUGAGAAGUCCAUUACUGGGGUCCAUCAUCAUGAGGAAAUAUAUAUGUAUGAACAUGCAUCUAUAGUCAGAGGUGGUGGAAGAUUGCAUUUUUGUGGCAGCCGAUUUAUUUAGAGAUCAAGGAAGCAAUAUUCUAGUGUUGUUUCGUGUUAUCUUUGAUUCUAGGAAGUCAAAUAAGUCGGAUAUUUCUCCAAUAUAGUUUAGUAUUCUAUCUUUUAGGCAAUUUAGCUAGGUUAGAUAGUCAAUUUUCUAUUUGGAUAAUAUCUCGAUAUCGUAUUCUAUAGGCGUAUUCGAUUACGAUAUAUUCUCUAAGGUUUCAUUAUAAAUGCCUAUAUAUACGUGUUCUUGAGUU